rfam:Prevotella bergensis DSM 17361 genomic scaffold SCAFFOLD2, whole genome shotgun sequence.
GUCCUGACUGGAAGUAGGACAAACUCUUGCGAAGGCAAGGGCUGGGGAUUGGUCAUCCUCGGCAAAUAUUAACAGAGCACAUGACCUCGCUCAUCCCCC